UACGUAGGGUCCGAGCGUUAAUCGGAAUUACUGGGCGUAAAGCGUGCGCAGGCGGUUUUGUAAGCCAGAUGUGAAAGCCCCGGGCUCAACCUGGGAACUGCAUUUGGGACUGCAAGGCUGGAGUACGGCAGAGGCAGGUGGAAUUCCGGGUGUAGCGGUGGAAUGCGUAGAGAUCCGGAAGAACACCGGUGGCGAAGGCGGCCUGCUGGGCGAGUAGCUGACACUGAGCGCGACAGCGUGGGGAGCAACAGG
rnacentral:rRNA from 1 species